CCUACGGGCGGCUGCAGUGGGGAAUAUUGGACAAUGGGGGGAACCCUGAUCCAGCCAUGCCGCGUGUGUGAAGAAGGCCCUCGGGUUGUAAAGCACUUUCAGUGAGGAAGAACGCCUGGUGGUUAAUACCCAUCAGGAAAGACAUCACUCACAGAAGAAGCACCGGUUAACUCCGUGCCAGCAGCCGCGGUAAUACGGAGGGUGCGAGCGUUAAUCGGAAUUACUGGGCGUAAAGCGCGCGUAGGUGGCUUGAUAAGCCGGUUGUGAAAGCCCCGGGCUCAACCUGGGAACGGCAUCCGGAACUGUCAAGCUAGAGUGCAGGAGAGGAAGGUAGAAUUCCCGGUGUAGCGGUGAAAUGCGUAGAGAUCGGGAGGAAUACCAGUGGCGAAGGCGGCCUUCUGGACUGACACUGACACUGAGGUGCGAAAGCGUGGGUAGCAAACAGGAUUAGAUACCCUAGUAGUC
rnacentral:rRNA from 1 species